rnacentral:rRNA from 1 species
ACAGAGAGUGCAAACGUUGUUCGGAAUUACUGGGCUUAAAGCGCACGUAGGCGGCGAAGUAAGUGUGAGGUGAAAGCCCACGGCUCACCCGUGGAAUUGCCUUGCAUACUGCCUCGCUAGAGUAUGGUAGGGGAGAGCGGAACUCCUGGUGGAGCGGUGAAAUGCGUAGAUAUCAGGAGGAACACCGGUGGCGAAGGCGGCUCUCUGGUCCAUAACUGACGCUGAGGUGCGAAAGCUAGGGUAGCAAACGGG